UGGGGAAUAUUGCGCAAUGGGGGCAACCCUGACGCAGCCAUGCCGCGUGAAUGAAGAAGGCCUUCGGGUUGUAAAGUUCUUUCGGUGACGAGGAAGGUUGUUGUGUGAAUAGCACAACAAAUUGACGUUAAUCACAGAAGAAGCACCGGCUAACUCCGUGCCAGCAGCCGCGGUAAUACGGAGGGUGCGAGCGUUAAUCGGAAUAACUGGGCGUAAAGGGCACGCAGGCGGACUUUUAAGUGAGGUGUGAAAUCCCCGGGCUUAACCUGGGAAUUGCAUUUCAGACUGGGGGUCUAGAGUACUUUAGGGAGGGGUAGAAUUCCACGUGUAGCGGUGAAAUGCGUAGAGAUGUGGAGGAAUACCGAAGGCGAAGGCAGCCCCUUGGGAAUGUACUGACGCUCAUGUGCGAAAGCGUGGGGAGCAAACAGG
rnacentral:rRNA from 1 species